rnacentral:rRNA from 1 species
CUUCCGUAGGUGAACCUGCGGAAGGAUCAUUAGAGAAUAAACCCGGGGUUGGUGGUCGACGUCGCGAGACUAGACCCUACCCUUUAUUCAUCCACACACCUGUGCACUGUAGAGCCGAAGAGUCUUUAUUGACUCGACGGUUCGCCCUUUUAUACAAACAUCAGUAGUCCUAAACGUAACGUCUUAUUAUAACCUAAUAAAACUUUCAACAACGGAUCUCUUGGCUCUCGCAUCGAUGAAGAACGCAGCGAAAUGCGAUAAGUAAUGUGAAUUGCAGAAUUCAGUGAAUCAUCGAAUCUUUGAACGCACCUUGCGCCCUUUGGUAUUCCGAAGAGCAUGCCUGUUUGAGUGUCAUGAAACUAUCAACCACGACUUGGUUUACUCCUCGUCUUGGCUUGGAUUUGGGUGUUUGCUGCUGCACAAGCUGCUCGCCUUAAAAGGAUUAGCUGGACUCGCUUUGCGAUGAGGUUUGACUCGGCGUAAUAAGUUAUUUCGCUGAGGACAUCUUCGGAUGGCCUUGUUGCUCUGCACACGUCUGCUUUCUAACCCGUUCUCUUUACGGAGACAUGACUUUUUAUUCGUUUGGCCUCAAAUCAGGUAGGACUACCCGCUGAACUUAAGCAUAUCAAUAAGCGGAGGA